UGGCCUCUUCCCCUUCACAGGAAUUUCAGUUGGGUCAUAUAGAACUCUCUCUUAGUCAGUGGAAUACCCCAAUUUUUGUUAUACAGAAGCGCUCUGGCGCCUUCCGCCUGCUGCACGACUCGCGCGCGGUCAAUGCCCAACUUGUGCCCUUUGGGGCAGUGCAGCAGAGCGGACCAGUACUGUCAGCCACACCCAAGGAAUGGCCGUUGGUGGUAAUAGAUCUUAAAGACUGCUUUUUCUCCAUUCCCCUUGUGGAAGAAGAUCAGGAGGCGUCUGCCUUUAC
rfam:Gallus gallus isolate RJF #256 breed Red Jungle fowl, inbred line TCD001 chromosome 1, whole genome shotgun sequence.